rnacentral:rRNA from 1 species
CCUACGGGAGGCAGCAGUGAGGAAUAUUGGUCAAUGGGCGCGAGCCUGAACCAGCCAAGUCGCGUGAGGGAGGACGGCCCUACGUGUUGUAAACCUCUUUUGCCGGGGAGCAACGGGUGCCACGUGUGGCGUCACUGAGAGUACCCGGAGAAAAAGCAUCGGCCAACUCCGUGCCAGCAGCCGCGGUAUUACGGGGGAUGCGAGGGUGAUCCGGAUUCAUUGGGUUUAAAGGGUGCGUAGGCGGAUCGUUAAGUUAGUGGUCAAAGUGAGGGGCUCAACCCCUGCCCGCCAUUGAAACUGGCGGUCUUGAGUGGAAGAGAAGUAUGCGGAAUGCGUGGUGUAGCGGUGAAAUGCAUAGAUA